rnacentral:rRNA from 1 species
GGACCCGCACAAGCGGUGGAGCAUGUGGUUUAAUUCGAUGCAACGCGAAAAAACCUUACCUACUCUUGACAUACUUGGGAGCUCUUGUAAUGAGAGUGUGCCUUUUGGAACCAAGAUACAGGUGCUGCAUGGCUGUCGUCAGCUCGUGUCGUGAGAUGUUGGUUAAGUCCCGCAACGAGCGCAACCCUCACUUUUAGUUGCCAUCAUUAAGUUGGGCACUCUGAAAGAACUGCCAGUGAUAAGCUGGAGGAAGGUGGGGAUGACGUCAAGUCCUCAUGGCCCUUACGUGUUGGGCUACACACGUGCUACAAUGGUAUCUACAACAGGAAGCAAAACAGCGAUGUUAAG